rfam:Cyberlindnera jadinii NRRL Y-1542 unplaced genomic scaffold CYBJAscaffold_6, whole genome shotgun sequence.
CCAAAUGAUGAAUAGAUGUCGCCCCAAACAGAUUAUCGUUUUUUACCAUGAUCGAACCGAUUCUUUGCCAAACACACUGAAAAUUCUGAUU